rnacentral:rRNA from 1 species
AUAGCGUAUAUUAAAGUUGUUGCGGUUAAAAAGCUCGUAGUCGAAUCUGUGUCCCGCGCCGCUGGUUCAUCGCUCGCGGUGUUCAACUGGCGUGUUUCGCGGGACGUCCUGCCGGUGGGCGCUCGUAUCGUUUCGGCGGUGCGUGGCCCAGCUCGUAGCCGUCUCGCGCGGUUGCGAAUCUCAUCGCGGUGCUCUUUAUUGAGUGUCGAGGUGGGCCGGCACGUUUACUUUGAACAAAUUAGAGUGCUUAAAGCAGGCCAAUUUUGCCUGAAUAUUGUGUGCAUGGAAUAAUGGAAUAGGACCUCGGUUCUAUUUUGUUGGUUUUCGGAACCCCGAGGUAAUGAUUAAUAGGAACGGAUGGGGGCAUUCGUAUUGCGACGUUAGAGGUGAAAUUCUUGGAUCGUCGCAAGACGGACAGAAG